rnacentral:rRNA from 1 species
UACGUAGGUGGCAAGCGUUGUCCGGAUUUACUGGGCGUAAAGAGCGCGCAGGCGGUCGUGCAAGUCGCGUGUGAAAGCCCCCGGCUCAACUGGGGAGGGUCACGCGAUACUGCUCGACUCGAAGGCAGGAGAGGGAAGUGGAAUUCCCGGUGUAGUGGUGAAAUGCGUAGAUAUUGGGAGGAACACCAGCGGCGAAGGCGGCACUCUGGGCUGGUACUGACGCUGAGGAGCGAAAGCGUGGGUAGCGAACAGG